rnacentral:lncRNA from 1 species
UGAUAAGGCUACUUACGAUCAUCUUUGGGUUUACUGCUGGAGCCCGGGCCCGAGCCGGCCUAGCUGGCGUCGAAGGAAUCCAAUGAUCCUCCCACACAUUAACCUCGUACCCUGAAUGCACUUUGCUUCUGAUGCCCAAAAGUAACAGCUUCCUCGCAGCAGUUAUACUUGUCCAUACAUACGAUGGGUUAUCCACUGCGCCCAUUCGCAAACGGCGAACUCAAAC